UACAGAGGUCUCAAGCGUUGUUCGGAUUCAUUGGGCGUAAAGGGUGCGUAGGCGGCGCGGUAAGUCGGGUGUGAAAUCUCGGGGCUUAACUCCGAAACUGCAUUCGAUACUACCGUGCUUGAGGACUGGAGAGGAGACUGGAAUUCCCGGUGUAGUGGUGAAAUGCGUAGAUAUCGGGAGGAACACCAGUGGCGAAGGCGACUAUCUGGGCUGCAACUGACGCUGAGGCGCGAAGGCUAGGGUAGCAAACAGG
rnacentral:rRNA from 1 species